AGUAAAGGCUUGUUCAUCAAAGUAAUGCAUUUCCUAGGAAAUGAAGAUUUCCAUGGGAAUAAUUAAAUUUUCCUGCGAUGUUUUUAUUUUCCUGGGGGUGGGCAGGUGGAAGAGCAAGGGGGAAGGAGUCAGGGUUUGGUGCCCUCUUAAAACACUAAGGAAACCUAGUGGGAGAAAAACUUAGGAAACAUUUGAACAAAUUUUUAUUUUAAGUUAAAUUCUAGGAGAAGAAUUGAGAGGCCUAUAGACUUUCCCUGGAAAAAUGAGACAUUUGGGAAUAAAAGGAACUUUGGAACUGCAAGGAGAGAGAGGAAUAAAAGUAAAAUAUGGAAGUAAGAAAUAAAUUUCUCAUGUUUCUAUAGUGUGGUUUUCAACCUUUUAGUAUAUUCUCCAAAAAAUAUUUGUGUUAGUGUCUGGUAUUCCUAUAGCACCAUUUCAGGAGAGGUGUGACUUCCAGAAGUGUGAGGAGCAGAAAAAGAAACCAUCUGUUACAUGGGAGAUGAGCUGCCCAACAGAACUGGAGGGAGAAAUUGUCUGGAAUGAGUCACCAGCUUGUUGUUUUCUGUGGGUGAAAUUCCAAGCCCUCUAUCUCAUGUUAUAAACAGCAUUUUUUCUUCUCUCAUUCUUUGCCUGUUCAUGUGGUUUUUGCUCCAACUUUAAUUAAUUUUAAAAUGUUCACAUGUGUGUUUUGCCAGCGAGAACUGGGCUUUUCCCUCUGAACAGAAGAUGACUUUGGCAGCCCUGAGAAUUCAAAGGCUAACCAAGAGUUCACUUUGGUCAGGAAUAAGGCACUCCCAGUUGGACAACUUCCCUGAAUAAAUCUGCAGUGUGGCCUGUGAUUUCUGCUCUGGAAACCAAAUAUCUCUUUCCCGUGGCAUCAGAUUACAGGAGAGCUGAACAUCUUGGAGACAGGUGUUGUGCAGUCAUUUUAGUAUAAAUUAUUUAAUAACAGCCUCGAGUCCCGCUUAUAGUAACUGAUGACUUGCAGAGACAAGCACCUGCAUUGGAAACCGAAGCACAGGUUUUGGAGGCUGAAUUAAAUAGACACAAAAAAGAGAGCACUGUGCUUCAUUCAAAUGGCAUCUAUACAAACCACAGAAUGGUUUGCAGGAACCUUCCAAGAAUAUUUCUGCACCAAAGCCUCUGCAAUAACUGCACCUUACAUAGCUCCAAGUGAGUUGAGAUGUAUCAAUCAAAGGGCAACUGAAAUGAUGAAGUGCCUUACUAGCUGUCUGCUAUAAAAUGCUCCUCUGCGUUUGCACAAAUUAGGAUCUAAACACGCGCAAAAGAAGCAGAUUUGGUAUGUUAAGCUCUACGUGCUUCCAACAACAUGAUCAGCUAAAACACAGAGAAUUUUGUGUUCACUCUCCUGAAAAAAUCUGUGGAAAAUGGAAUUCUGUAAUACCUGUUGUCUUA